ACACAACACAAUGCCACAGAUGUCUCAAGUUUUGAAGAAGCAUGACUUUGGCAUGCUGACUGCAGGGAUGUCCACCAGAGCUGUUGUCAGAGAAAUUAAUGUUAAUUUCACUACCAUUAGCUGCCUGCAAUGUCAUUUUAGAGAAUUUGGCAGUACGUCCAACCGGCCUCACAAACGCAGACCACGUGUAACCAAGACAGCCUCCAAAUCCAGCCAUAGAUAGCCACUGAAACUGUGGGUUUGGACAACCGAAGAAGAAACCGACUCAGGGAAGAUCAUCUGCAUGCUCGUCAUCCUCACCAUGGUCUUGACCUGACUGCACGUCUGCGUUGUAACCGACUUCCGUGGACAAAUGCUCACCUUCGAGGCUACUGGCACGGUGGAUGAGUGUGCUCUUUACGGUUGACUUUUCAACUGUACCGGGCAGAUAUCAGACAGCCUGUAUGAUGUCAUGUGGGCGAGCGGUUUGUGGAGAUUAAAGUUGUGAACAGAGUGCCCCAUGGUGGGGUUAUGGUAUGGGCAGGCAUAAGCUACGGACAAUGAACACAACUUCAUUUUAUUGAUGGCAAUUUGAAUGCACAGAGAAACUGUGAUGAGAUACUGAGGCCCAGUCGUGCCAAUCAUCCGCUGCCAUCACCUUCAGCAUGAUAAUAAUGCCCAUCUUGUAAGGAUAUGUACACAAUUCCAGGAAGCUGAAAAUGUCUCAGUUCUUCCAUGGCCUGCAUACCUACCAAGAUAUGUCAACCAUUGAGUAUGUUUGGGAUGCUCUGGAUUGAUAUGUACGACAGCGUAUUCCAACUCCCACCAAUAUCCAGCAACUUUGCAAAUCCAUUGAAUAGGAGUGGGACAAUAUUCCACAGGCCACAAUCAACAGCCUGAUCAUCUCUAUGAGACGGAAACAUUUUACGCUGCUGACGUGUUUUCUGAGCCACGCCCCCAACUUUUUUUUAAGUUACGUCUCUGUCUCCUGUUCCACAUCUCACCACCCAACUACCUUGCUUUGGUUUUUACUCACCAUCACCACCUUGGAUUCUCCUCAGGAUCUGUUUACCUUGUUGUACUCAGCCAACCUCAGUCUCCACAUCUGAUUUUUCUGCAACUCAUCCGAGCUUCCCCGGAUCUGCACUCCAUGUCUCUCUGUGUAACAAUAAAUAUUUUGGUUCAUUCA